rnacentral:rRNA from 1 species
UACAGAGGGUGCAAGCGUUGCUCGGAUUUACUGGGCGUAAAGCGUACGCAGACGGUUUGGUAGGUCGGACGUGAAAGCCCCGGGCUCAACCCGGGAAAUGCGUCCGAAACCCCCUUACUCGAGUAUGGGAGAGGGAAGCGGAAUUCCUGGUGUAGAGGUGAAAUUCGUAGAUAUCAGGAGGAACAUCGGCGGCGAAGGCGGGUCUCUGGGCAACAACUGACGCUGGAGGAGCGAAAGCGUGGGGAGCGAACAGG